GAAUUUUCAAAGAACAUUGUUUGUUUGGAUUGGAUGUUGUUGCCAAUAAUUGGGAAUUCUCUCUACGUCUCUUUCUGUCUCUCAAUCCCAACUUUUAGUAAUACAAAGCAAAGGAAAAGAGAACAGCAAUUCCACCAUUGACAGCCAUUAAAAAGUUUUGAUGCUUUGAAUUCGAAUUUGAAUUUUCAAAAACCAUUAUUGGUUAGGAGUGUGUGUUGUGACAAAUAAUUGAGAAUAUAGUUUGGAGUUUAUAUCUCAAUUUUAAGGAGUUUUGGUGAAGAUUAGAUUUGGUUUUGAAUAAAUUUCAGAUUGAAACUCUAAGAAG
rnacentral:lncRNA from 1 species